rnacentral:rRNA from 1 species
AGGAGUCCUAGUUCAAAGGGUUGUGAAUUGGAACAUUACCGCUUUACGAUGAGACUGCAGCGGAUCAGGCUGUUGGCGGGGUAACGGCCCACCAAACCGAUAACCUGUAGGGGAUAUGAGAGUAUGAGCCCCGAGAAGGGCACUGAGACAAGGGCCCUAGCGCUACGGCGUGCAGCAGGCGCGCAAACUCCACAAUGCGCGGAAGCGUGAUGGGGGGAAUCUGAGCGGUUCACUUCGGUGAAUCUUUUGCCAAGUUUAGUUAGCUUGGCGAAUAAGUGCUGGGCAAGACCGGUGGCAGCCGCCACGGUAAUACCGGCAGCACAAGUGGUGUCCACGAUUAUUGGGCUUAAAGCGCUCGUAGCUGGCCAUUACCGUCUCGUGUGAAAUAUUGGUGCUCAACAUCAAUGCGUGCACGGGAUACCUAUUGGCUAGGGAGCGGGUGAGGUCAGGAGUACUUAUGGGGAAGGGGUAAAAUCCUAUAAUCCUAUAAGGACUAACGGUGGCGAAGGCGCCUGACUAGAACGCAUCCGACAGUGAUGAGCGAAGGCUAGGAGAACGAAUCGGAUUAGAUACCCGAGUAGCCCUAGCAGUAAAUUAUGCAGACUCUGAUGUUGCAGAUAUCUCGAAUAUCUGCAGUACCGUAGCGCAAGUGUUA